AUGGCGCCCCCCGCCGUUCCCGUCCGGCCCUCCGCCCUGGCGGGCUCGCCGCGCUCCGGCCACCCCGACUGGGUCUUACUCAGCAAGACGGGACGCAUCUCCGACGACCGGCACGAAACCACCGCCGGGUGCCGCACGGCGGAGGGCCAGGCCGUCGAGGUGUCCUUCUGCCUCGCCGACCCGCCGGCCGUCUCCCACUUCUCCGUCCACUGCCCCGGCCUCGAGGGCGACGACUACUCCGACACCCCGCCCUUGCUCAUCUGCGCCGAGGGGGCCUUCGUGCUCUUCUCCGUCACCCUCAACGUCCCCGAGUGGGGCUCCGUCCACCACUUCGUCUACUCCGCCCGCGGCCCGUCCGGCAACCGCCCGUCGCUGCACCUGCUCCCGGAGCCGGACCCUGAGGUGCCAGCCUUCCAGUCCCAGCAGUUCGGCAUCCUGCCCUGCGGCGGCGGCCACUUCGCCGUGGCUUUCCUCGAUCGCAACUGGAUUGACCAUCGUGACUGCUGGGAGUAUCGCGCCUACGUCUUCUCCUCCACCACGCGGGCAUGGAGCAGAACCAAGCCGUCCAUGCCGCGCUUGUCCGAGUAUGACAAAGAGUUGCUCGAUAGGCAUUACAGCUGCAAGCAGAUCACUGUCGGAGAAAGCUCGCUGGGCUGGGUUGAUCUCUUGUGUGGCAUUGUCCUCCUCUGCAACCUCUUCGACAAGCGUCCCGUCAUCAAGUACAUCCCGUUGCCCGCGUCCAGGGUUCCCCUCGCCGACGAGGACGGUGUCGCGGACAUCGCCGCGGAACAUCUAUGCGAUGUCUCAUCCUGCGGCGAUCUCAUCAAGUUUGUCCAGAUAGAUUUCGAUGAACCUGACUACGGAAGCAGUGGCAUCGCUUGGAAAGCCACCACAUGGAACAGGAAGCUCUCUUGGGAUGAUUGGCGCAACCGCCGCACGGUUGAUGUUGCUGAAAUCUCGGUCGACACGAGUUAUUCUGCUUUGUUGCCUGAGCUGCUGGAUGAUGAGAACAAACAACUGGAGCUGAAGAAUCUUAUUUUCAUUAACCCCACCCUGAGCAUCCAAGAUGACCAUCUUCUCUACAUAAGGGCCAUGGUAAAGGCUCAAGAUGACACGACAUGGAUUGUCGCACUUGACAUGAAACAUGCCUCUCUCAGUGCGCUAGUCCCAGUGUCCACCCAACCCUUCUGUGGUGUUACCAUGCGCCUUCCCCAAGUACUACCUCGACAACAUGCCAGCAGCAGAGGCAGACGUGGUCAAACCAGUGGUCAGGCAACUAUACAGUACAAAUAA
rnacentral:rRNA from 1 species